CACCGCGGUUAGACGAGAGGCUCAAGCUGACAGACUACGGCGUAAAGAGUGGUUAAGGGUAAUUAUUAAUAAAGCCGAAAGCCCUCAAUGCUGUUAUACGCAUGCCGAGAAUAAGAAGCUCAAUCACGAAAGUGGCUUUACCUCCCCCCUGAUUCCACGUAAGCCAGGGCA
rnacentral:rRNA from 1 species